rnacentral:rRNA from 1 species
UACAGGGGGGGCAAGCGUUGUUCGGAAUUACUGGGCGUAAAGGGCUCGUAGGCGGCCAACUAAGUCACACGUGAAAUCCCCAGGCUUAACCUGGGAACUGCGUGUGAUACUGGAUGGCUUGAAUCCGGGAGAGGGAUGCAGAAUUCCAGGUGUAGCGGUGAAAUGCGUAGAUAUCGGGAGGAACACCGGUGGCGAAGGCGGCAUCCUGGACCGACAUUGACGCUGAGGAGCGAAAGCCAGGGGAGCAAAC